rnacentral:rRNA from 1 species
CCCGUGAAUUGUGUUGUAGUUGUUUGUACAUGGGACGUAGUGGAACACUUUAACCUGAAGGUGUGACUGUCCUGCUAUAUUGCAUUUCCGAAGUCUCUUUGAUAGGGGCCAACAUCCAGAGAGGGUGCGAGACCUGUACGGAAAGUAGUAUAGUUGGUAUGGUUACUCCUUGGAGUCGGGUUGCUUGAAAGUGCAGCCUAAAGUUGGUGAUAAACUUCAUCUAAGGCUAAAUAUCGACGCGAAAUCGAUAGCAAACAAGUACCGUGAGGGAAAGUUGCAAAGAACUUUGAAGAGAGAGUUCAAGAGAACGUGAAAUCGCUGAAGUGGAACCGGAGAGAGUUAACAUAACUUGGUAGCUAUAUCCUCUAAAGUCGCUUAACUGUGGCUCUGGGGGGUGGACGCUACCUGUUGUUGCACUGACUGCGUUGAUUGUGCUUUCCGAACAGUAUAGUGUUGCCCACUUUGUGGUGUCUUGCUUUCUGGGAGGUUUGUCAUAAUUAACGUAAAGCCAAUUCCCUUUGGAGUCAGUGUGAAAGUUAACCACCUUUCCGACCCGUCUUGAAACACGGACCGAGGAGUGUAAUUUAUACGCGAGUCAAGGGGUGGUGAAAACCCUAGGGGCGGAAUGAAAGUAAAGGCCGGUUAACCGGUUGACAUGGGAUCCGCUCUUCGGAGCGGCGCACCAUGGCCCUGUCUUGUCUGCUUGCAGAUGGGCAGCGGUAGAGCGUAUAGUUUGCGACCCGAAAGAUGGUGAACUAUGCUUGAGCAGGACGAAGCCAGAGGAAACUCUGGUGGAAGUCCGUAUCGGUUCUGACGUGCAAAUCGAUCGAUAGACUUGGGUAUAGGGGCGAAAGACUAAUCGAACCGUCUAGUAGCUGGUUCCCUCCGAAGUUUCUCAGGGAUAGCUGGAUU